rnacentral:lncRNA from 13 species
AAAUAGGUGUGUGUGUGUGUGUGUGUGUGUGUGUGUGUCAAUAUAUAUUAUUUAAAAAUUAACAUCUUAUCUAACUUGAAGCUUCCUUUCCGCGUUUCCGAUUGGUUAUAAAUUUGCUCAUUUAAUAAUUAUUUAAUUUAUUAAUUAAUUUAAAUAUAAUUAGAUAAAUGGUUACUUAAUAUAAUUAUUUUAUCAAAUAAUUACAUAACUGUUUAACUAAUAUAAAUAUUUAUUAAAUUAACAAAUGAACAGCUGUGGAAAAAAGAAGACGCGCUAUCUAGUAAAUUAUAAAAUACUCAUACACGCAAGAAACAUGCACAAAAGCAUGCCCACACAUACGUACACAUACACACACACACGCGCGCGCGCGCAUUUUUUACAAUUUAUAUAAAUUGUCUAUUACCAAGAGAAGUAUUAUAAUUGCAGUCAGAGUUGUGUGUUUUACGCGUAAAAUAUAAUUAGUCUUACCUACUUGCGUAACCUUCGACCACCUACCUACUUAAAGGUUAAGUAUGUCUCUCGCUGCCGAAGCUACGUUUCACGCUUCGCUCGACUGGACUGGCGUUCGGAAAAAUCCGCUUUUCAACACGAUUAUUUCGCAAAACGUCGAAUCGAGCGAUGCGAUAGCGUCGCGACGCCAAAUGGUACAUAUGUACAUACAUACGUACUCGGCCGCCGAGCAUUUCGAAGGCGUUCUUAUUUGUGUUCGCGUUCGCCGAACGCGCCGGACAUCGAAACGAAUCGAGACGUCGUUCAUCGAGGGAUUGAUCGAGAUCGAUAGUAUCGAGGCACGGGGCGAGCGGCAUGGGUGGAGGGGGGGGGGGAGCGAGCUGCAUUGCCCUCCCCGUCCUCCGCCAUGUUUACUCGCAGCGCGUCGUCGUUUCUCGCAAAUGUUCGACGUCCUCGCGGCGCGUCGUUUCUCAUUGUUUUCAUUAUUUUCGCCGACGCGCUACGUCACGUUUCCCGGUAUUUUCACGGCCGAGUACGCAACAAGCUUUCGAGGUGUCGAAAAUCCUGGCUCGCGACCGUCCUACGGUUCAUCAUUCACGUUCGACGCGCCAACGGUGCCGGGGUCUGUCUCUAUCGCUCGUGGGUUGGAACAGGACCCACUAGUGCCUCUGACAAUGAGCGCGAAUCGGUCUUAGCGUUUACGCCGGAUCGUGUGUGCGCGAUACGAACGGUAUCUUUUUCGUACGGACUCCUCGCUCCUCGUCGAGAGCCCUGAACUGUAGACUAGAGAUUUGUUCGCGUCGCGUGCCCCAAGAGCAUUCGGAUCACUUGGAUCACUUGGAUCACUUUUAUCACCAAUCGCAGCAUUAGAGCUAAUGCUGCGAUUGGUGAUAAAAGUGAUCCAAGUGAUCCAAGUGCUCUCGGAGCAUGCGACGCGAACAAACCUUAGGACAACCGAGCUCUCUGGCGAUUCGGUGCUCAACGAUCGUGAAUCCGUGACGUUUAAUUGAAGACUCGGAAAUCUAAAGGUCACACAAUUGAGAAAAAGAAGAAGAGCGGCCCGAGUACGUGUGUCUAUUCAUUAGCGGGCACCGAGGAGGAGGAGGAGGAGGAGGAGCACCGAGAUCCGGGGAAUCCGACGAAAUCUACGGGCGCGUUACAGUGAUUUUCCUCGCACGUUCAUUAGACGAGACAAUUGCGCGCAUUAUUCCGCAACGCUCCAGGUAAGUUCUCACCGCUGUGUACACUAUAUUGCGAAUGCCGAAGUGUGAAAUAAAUCAGCGGACGAUUGUUUACUGUGCUAACGAGCUGAACGCGAUCACGAAUCUUUAUCUUUUUCUAAGAUAAAGUUAGCAGGCUUUUGUCAUUAAGCCGUUCUUCCCAAUAGGCAAGAGACAUUAAAGCAACAUUUAGCAAUGUUGUUAUCACGCACUUGUAAGCGUUUUAAAAUAAUAUUGCUGACUUUUUUUUACUUUCUUUGAAAUGUUUUAAAAACGUUAUCUCUAAUCUAGUCACGAGCAGAGUUUAUAUUAAUGUUGUAUAACGUUAAAUAAAAUAUAUUUGAAUACGUUACAUUUUAUUUAACAUCGUUGUAUAAUAACAUAAUUAUAGUAAUGAUUUUAUGCUUACUGGGGUAGUGCUGAACAAUAAUAAUUUGUAUAAGCGGGAGAUUAUAAAAAUUAAAAAUUCGAUAACUUUACUAAAUUUGGUAAUAGCUGCUAAAUCUUUUUUUCAAUACAAUGUAAUUGUUUUAAUGAUCCAACAUAAUUAUUUUCAUAUCUGUAUUAUCAACCAAAUUGUUCUUUCAGUGCGACAGUGAGUGCAAUGAGAAACAUUAAAGAGCAUUGAGGAUAACUGAGGAACGGCGAAGAGCUCGAGGAACAUUGAGCACCGAGGUUGUACAUCUAGCGAGAUCUAUAUUGAGGACAGCGGGGAGGAUUCUUUCGUAUCGGUGCGCGUGCACAUCAUCGAUCUUAGAUACUGUUGGACGAUGGUGGAGGCGCUCGCUUGUAUACAGAAUUAAUCCAAUUUCUCAUGGGCACGCCCGCCUUUCUCGGGAACAACGCGCGUCAUUCCACCUUGCGCUCCGUUCCCUCAUUUUUUAUUCAACAGACAAAACGGCCCCGACACUGGGCGCUAUCGCCGUGAUGUCCCACAGAGGUACAAUAAUGAUUGGACUUGGGUAAGUAAUUCUUGAUUUAUUUUUCUUAAAUAGAAUAAGAGCGCGUUUCCACGACGCUGUUGUAAAAAGUUACGCAACGUUAUCGAAACGAGGAAGCGUCCGCGAGAGAUUACGAAUAUAAAUGCAUCAUGAGAUUUUCAGACUUUACUCACAAGAAAAUCUAAAAAAAUACGAGGUUCCGAGUCUUAGCCGAAUAAUUUUCGCGGUUCUGUAAACGGCGCGAAUUUCUCCAAGCGACUUUCCAAGAAAAACGUGACUUCCACUCCCGCGAGAUCUCGUUAUGCGCCACCACUUUGCGGGAAUUACUUUUCCUCUCCUUUUUUUGGAGAUUAGUUCGAAAAUUUCCUCUCGCGACCAGUAAAAAUUACAUAUUCAAGUAAAGGCACAGUUGCAUACUA